rfam:Ovis aries breed Texel chromosome 6, whole genome shotgun sequence.
UCCCUGGUGGCUCAGAUGUUAAAGCGUCUACCUGGAAUGUAGGAGACUCGGGUUCGAUCCCUGGGUUGGGAA